rnacentral:pre_miRNA from 1 species
GCGGCUGAUUGUCCAAACGCAAUUCUUGAGAAACCUCGAAUUCACCCCCAAGAAUUGUGUGUGGACAUCUGUUGC